rnacentral:lncRNA from 1 species
UCACCCUCUCCCCGCCCGCCGCGUGCGCGCCAUGCCAUCUGCGGGAGUGUGGGGCGGGCAUCGCCCAAUCCCCCCACCCGCACCACUCCCUCCCUGCCCCGCGCCCAAUCCCCUCGCCCGCACCGCUCCCUCCCUCCUCGAUCUCUCUCCCUGGCUAGCCGCCAUUGGUGGGAAACCGUAGCCCAUUAUCCCAAUCAACACAGCCGCAUCUCCUCUCCUUCUUUCUCCCUUCUCCCCCCUCCUCCCCUCACCACAGCCGCAACCUAGAGGCUUCGCCGUCCGUUUCGAUGAGAUCCACCACCUCAUGAGGUUCUCAUCUGCCCCAGGUUGCGAGGAAGCCGCGGGAGGAGGAGUGACCUCGGUGCGAGAUAGGUACGGAGGAGGAGCUCAACCAACGCGUCUUCGGCCGGAGGAGGGAAGCAGCGGAUGCGAGCCAUGAGGCGGAUCGGCUGGGCCCAGGUAUGGAGGCGGCUGGGGCGGGCGCGGAGAGGGCCGAUGCGGCGGCGGCCAAGGACAGGGAGGACGAGGUUGCAUCCAUCAGCGAGAAGCGGCCGAUCCACCUGCGUGCUGUCACUGCAGGGAUAGCGCCGCCGUCUCCCUCUCCCCUCGUGGCACCUCCCUAUGUGAGCUCCUCCCUAUCUUCCUGCUCCUUCACCUCCUCCUUCUCAUCCCAUGAAUUUUAGAUUUGUUUGUUCAGUUUUACUCCAUAGUGCUUGCACGCCCAUGAAUCUGAAAGUAACCCGCAAAAAAAAAUCUGGAAGUAGACAUUUUAGUGUUUUUCCUAUUCCAUUAUCCGCUUUUUUUGUUGCUAAGAGUACAGUUUUUUUUGCAUGGGGGAUUAAUGAGGCUGGUUAUACAGAAUGAUAAUUGCCUCAAAUGAUUCAAAUUAAGAGUUCUGCUCAAGAUAUAUGUGCUAGAGAACUAAUUAUUUUGUACUUGACCGCUCUGCAGAUGUUGAGGUUGGUCCUGGAAUGGUUGGCUUUGGGACUUUUGGUGGUAGUAUAUUCUUAUGCCGAUGACAAGCAUUUGCAGGACGAUUAUGUGGUUAUCUGUGGCAGUGUGCUCCUAUCCUCCCCGCCUCCAUACUUCAUUUUUGGAAAACUAAUGAUUUUAAUUCCUGGAUGUCAUAGGUACCAUUGAUUGUGCCUCAGCUUCGUAGCCGAUCUUCGAUCGUCCAUGGCAUCAACACAUAAAUUGAGAAUUAAUUAUUUUGUACUUGACCGCUCUGCAGAUGUUGAGGUUGGUCCUGGAAUGGUUGGCUUUGGGACUUUUGGUGGCAGUAUAUUCUUAUGCCAACGACAAGCAUUUGCAGGAUAAUUAUGUGGUUAUCUGUGGCAGUGUGCUCCUAUCCUCCCCGCCUCCAUACUUCAUUUUUGGAAAACUAAUGAUUUUAAUUCCUGGAUAUCAUAGGUACCAUUGGUUGUGCCUCAGCUUCGUAGCCGAUCUUCGAUCGUCCAUGGCAUCAACACACAAAUUUAUAAUGCAAACCUCAGGUCAAUACCUCCCCUAUUUGAUUUCUGCGGCAGAGUGCUAAUAACUUUUAUUGUUUGUGUUUUUGGAUAAGAUUUGCAUGGUAUUUCUAUCAUUGGUUGAUUUCUUGGAUACUUUCACUAUAGUAGUUGUUCUGCCUCAUCUAUCACUAUCUGUGGGCUUGCUUUGAUUAUGUGUCUCCCAACUUUCUGUAACUAAAAAGCAGCCUAUAAAUGUAGCUUGAAUAAAAAUGGUACCUUUCUGUUUUGUGCAAGUUCAAAGUAUUAGUAGUUUCAGUUUGUCCAAUUUUUGCAGGGAUAUUGUGUGAGGUCUGGUACAAACUUUAAGACAAUCACUUAAUACAUUCAUGGGAUCACCAACUUUUGGCAUUUGUUGAUACUAGCUAGGUGGGGCCAUGAAUUCCUAGAAGAUUGUGGCAAUUAUCCUGCUUCGCUUGCAAGAUUGGUUUCUAAAAAUAUCAUAGUAGUUGUAAUUUCAGAUUGCUGCUGAUUUGACUAAAUAUGUUUUGAUUGUUUUUAAGCUUUGACUCUUUACUGUGUGCACAACUAAUUCAUUCCUAAUUAAAUCUUUCAAUGGUUGAUGGGAACACUACAGAUCUUGCUUCUCUGCUUUUUAAUGUUUCAUAUGUUUUCAUGUACAAACCGAGGCAUGCGGAUGCGGGCGUGAUGGCGGGCAUCUCCAGCAGCGGCGGCGACCUGCAGGCAGGAGGCAACGACUGGGGUGUUUGAUUAGAUCCAGCGCCAUGGCCCGGUCCCUAUAGGAGAGAGAGAUGAGGGACAGAGAGAGAAGGAAGGAGAGGAGGGAGAAAGAGAGAGGGAGGUAAGAUGCCGGAUGUUACUAUAGUAUUAGAAGAAUUCCUGAUAUAUUUAUUUAUAGGAUUCUAUGAUAUUUGAUGCAAAAUAUUGAUGGCCAAGUGAAUGCAGUGGACUCUUCAAGAUCGAGGUCACCAUUGGACAGGCCGAGUAUGUCCAUCGACAGCCUGCCCAGUGUCCGGAUUCACCAAACAAUACAACCGGAAACGCUGUCGGCUGCCUGCAGGUCUGGAAACCAGACAACAUCUCUGAAACCCACUAUCCUCUAAUGCAUGAAUCUCUAUGCUCAAUUUGGCUACAUCUAAUUUGCCAUCGUUUAAUCCUCCAUAAUGCAAACAUCCUAUUUUUCAUCAAGAGAAAGAACAUUAAGAAUUUUCGCACAUUCUAUUGUAGCAAUAUCGACUGUAUGAAUACUAGUAGUGUGUUUGGCAGUUUGUUCUUGUGGCUUCCAAAAGAAACCUGGAAUGUUUGUUCUGCCGGUACAACUCUCUUUGGCUAGGACAUUUUGGCUUCAAAUAACAUAAAUGAACCUAAAACUUUUCAAUAUUUUAUAUCACUUUUUGUAUUGAUGUUCUUCAUGCAUGCUCAUCUGCCAAGAGGUUAAUCCAAUAAUGUCACACGUUCCUCAGCAGGCACCAAGCCGUCCGCUGUUGUCUCUGCCCGAAGAAGGAUUAUGGUUCUCCACCUCUUUGCUACUCAUAUUAAAAUUCUGGUAUGUUCUUUCUUUCUUUAUUUUCUUUCAAGAAAAAGGUGGAACCUGUUCUUAGUUUCCUAUGAUGAUUUCAAUGGCAAUUUGUCAGUGUAUUUCUAGCCGGAAUUGUAUGUAUAUCUUACAAAUUUGCAUUGCAACAAAUUAAUAACGAGAAUAGAAGCGUUUGCACCCAUCUAACAUAUUUGUAUGGUAUUUUUCAAAAGCUCAAGCUUAAAGAUGUGGCGUUGUAUGAGGCUAUCAUUAGGAUGGAAGAUAAAUUUAAUGUUAAAAUAUUGCUUGAAUUUCCUUUGUUCUAUAAACAGCAAUACAAGAUAUGUUGCGCCAUGGUUUUUUUCCAAAAAAAUAACAACUAGCAAUUAACGACACAUCAAAUGUUCUGUGGAUCAUUUUGUCAGGUUGGAUUUAGUCGGUCAUAAUGGUUUUAUUCUAUGACAAGAUUAAUUUUGUUUGUACUUUAACCAGUUCAAGGAUUGGUGGUCGAGCACUAUGAUCUUUGCACACUAAGGUUCGGUUGUGUUCUUUGAGAAAUAUAUGUCCUACAAGUCUCAUGUGUCUUGUCUUGUUUUCGCUUUCCAAGCUACAAGCUUUUGAUAUACUUCAAACGUGAUUCUUUAUAUGUUGUUUGUUCCAUCAAUCGUAAAAUGUAAAUUAGCAAUUAGGCGUCGACAUAGUGUAGUGGAACCAUUGUGCUUGAUGCAGUUUUAUUUUAGUGUUGAAAUUUUUUUCUUAGUUUGUUUGGUGUUGAGAAAUAUAUUCAUUUUCCAGCAAUUGUUUUCUAAAUCCUAUCAACACAUUACCUUGUAUGGCCUUUGAAGUUUCUGUUUUAUAACGAUCUUUGCUGCAGUGGUCAACUUGAGUAUGGUAUAGCUUAUUCUUUUCUGUUGCAGCUAUUCCGGAGAAGUUUAGAGCUUCGGCAACCUUUUGAAGACACGAUUUAUAGUUGCGGAGAUAAAACAAUCAAUUAGUUGCGAUGCAUUACAUAAUCUUUUUGCUCUGGACAUUGAUGGGUAUUGCAGACUCCUUUAUUUUUCCACAAAGGACAGGAGUUGUGCCAUUUGACUCGAAGAACAAAACGUUCAUCACAAGGGGGUGGUCUUUAGGAUGUACACAAAAGAGGAAAUUUCAUUUUGUAUAGAACCAAAUUAUAUGAUGUAAUUGACCAUUCUCUUGUACACAAUGUUUAUCAUGUAUUAAGUACAUUUUAUUGUCAAAUAUGUUUACUUUUUUUAGUGCACAAGUUCACAACUCCUUGGACUUUCUAAUUGCAG